UACGGAGGGUGCGAGCGUUGUCCGGAAUCACUGGGCGUAAAGGGCGCGUAGGUGGCGCGGGCAGUCAACGGUGAAAGUUCGGGGCUCAACCCUGAAUCGGCCGUCGAUACUCCCGUGCUUGAGCACUGUAGAGGCAGAUGGAAUUCCAGGUGUAGCGGUGGAAUGCGUAGAGAUCCGGAAGAACACCGGUGGCGAAGGCGGUCUGCUGGGCAGUAGCUGACACUGAGGCGCGACAGCGUGGGGAGCAAACAGG
rnacentral:rRNA from 1 species